rnacentral:tRNA from 1 species
GUGGUUGUAGCUCAAUUGGAUAGAGCAUCGGUUUGUGGAACCGAAGGUUGCGGGUUCAAAUCCCGUCAGCCACC